UUCAGGUUCUUUUUUAAAUUCUUUUUGUGUCGAGUGUAAUUUCUUGAUUACAGGUUAGCAUCGAUUUUGUGGGUUGUAAAAUAAUUGGGGUAAUGUAGCUCUUCUUCGGGAGAGUGUUAUAGACCUUGAUAGGAUGCAAUCUGCGAGAUCGAGGAUUGCAGCAAAUACCCUUUGGGCUUGUCACCUGAUCCCUGGAAGUAGUUCCGUUGAUGGCAAUAUUCUUGACAUUGAUGGAAUAAUAUGACCAUUGGAUUAGAGUGAUCUAAAA
rnacentral:rRNA from 1 species